rnacentral:rRNA from 1 species
UACGUAGGGUGCAAGCGUUGUCCGGAAUUAUUGGGCGUAAAGAGCUCGUAGGCGGUCUGUCGCGUCGGCUGUGAAAACCCGGGGCUCAACCCCGGGCCUGCAGUCGAUACGGGCAGACUAGAGUGCGGUAGGGGAGACUGGAAUUCCUGGUGUAGCGGUGAAAUGCGCAGAUAUCAGGAGGAACACCGGUGGCGAAGGCGGGUCUCUGGGCCGUAACUGACGCUGAGGAGCGAAAGGCGUGGGGAGCAAACAGG